GGGAGGUCCUCAGCAAUCCCAGAAUGCUCUGGCUCCUCUGUGCACAGGGAUGGAUUGAAAAGCAGCGUGUCUCCCACCCCCCGGACCCGGAAGGCUGUCACAUCCCCCGCUGUCAGCGCUAGGGGGCCAGUAGAGAAGCCUCUGGGGGAGAUGUUUGCCCAGAAGACCAGCAUUCCAAACUGGGUCACGGCAAGCUGGAGUCUUCAUCAGUCCUAACCAGCUGGAGAUGCCAAGCCGACCAGAUGCUCCUCUUCCGUUACUUCCCAGUCGGCUUUCAAAUGACUGGUUUCCAUCCAACAAGGCUUAUAAUAAUGACUUGUUUAUAUCAUCCAUCUUCCUCCUGAGUAGCUGAGCUGGGAGUGAGAGAAGAGCAUAUAUAGCCAGGAAACUGCAAGACGCACAGCGAUUCUCAACCCUGCAAAACCCGACUCCCCUUUUCAAUGACUCUCAGUAAUAAAGCAAGAAGCCCCGGCUCACCAGGGAUGAAAAAAAAAACAAAACACAGAAGACACACCUGGGACUCUACUGUUAUUUCUGGACCAGAAGCCGACAAAGCAAAAUAAUCUUAUGAAGCAAUGGAGGCAAAUUAUUUGAUUGCCUAUAAUUCAGUCAUCUGCUUUCGUAUUGUUUUAUAAUGGGCAGAUUUCUAGACUUUACCUACUGUGUCUUCAUCUUACAAGCUUGGAGCUGCCAGAAGAAAAUUAUGCCCCAAACAGGUUUAAUUAGAGAGAUACUGGGUUGGAGCUCCCCAGGGAAAUGCUUGAUAUUACAGGAUGGGGAUGUUUAUGAUGGAGAAUUGAGGGCGGACAACCUAAAUUCACUCUAAGCGAGCAAGGUGGAGGGAAGCAGGGGAGGGUGGAGAACUGGGAAGGUGAAGAAAACAAGGUGGUCAGCAGUGAUCUGACCCAAGAGAAAGGAAAGCAGAGAUGACUUGUUCUCCAAUCUAGGGAAUUAGUGAAAUUUCAGGAUCUGAGGUCUUCUGGCCCACGAGUGACUGAAAGGCACAAAUGAGUAUUGUUGAACUGGGGAAGUCCAAAGGCCUGUCCUCUCCUGUUCUCACACCCCCUCUAAUUUAUAGACCCAAAUCACGGGAGAAGACAAAAGACUUUGUGUGUGCAUUGGUCAGUUCUCACAAGCUGGGUGUCCAGAAUGUAAUUUUUUUCUAAGUAAAAAUCAAAAGAAUACUAGGUGGUGAAUUAAUGCUUAUUCAGACACUUACUCAAUUAUUAUGUAUUUUAAUUCUCAUAACAAUAUUAAGUAUUACGGACCUAUAUUCCAAAUGAAAAACCGAGGGUCAGGGACGCUAAGCAAACAACUUCCUCCCCCAGUAGUUAAAUGACAGAGCUAAGAUUCUAAUCAAGGUCUGUCCAACCCCAGGAACUAUGUUUGCUUCCUUGGUCCAGAAAGAGGUAGACUAGGGUCCAGAGGGGUGUAGUCAGUCAGCGGUGCUACAUCCAACUACAACACAAACGGUGAGUCAGGAACUUUGCUCCGACAGGGAGACGUGGUUGAGUUCUGUACAUCUUGUGACACCUUCUAUCCCAGACUAGGUUUUCAAGGAUGUUUAUUUAACAGAGAUAGAGGUCUCUUCAGGAAAGAGGGCAAAUUUGUUUCCGGAUCAGGAUAAAAAUGAGAUAAUAUCUCCCUCCAGAGAUUAUGGUGUGGGCAAGUUUGCUAGUGCCCCCCCCGCAUAAGAGUGGGGGUUUCAACUUGAGCUUCCCUAGCUGUGACACAGAUCCACUGUGUGAACACUGUCCAUCUGCCUCGGCCUGCAACCCCACUGGGACUUGGGAGACACAGAGGAUUGGUAUGGCUGUGAGUAAUA